AAACUUAAAGGAAUUGACGGGGACCCGCACAAGCGGUGGAGCAUGUGGUUUAAUUCGAAGCAACGCGAAGAACCUUACCUAAACUUGACAUCCUUUUGACCGGUCUUUAAUCGGACCUUUCAGUGCUUGCACUGACAGAAGUGACAGGUGGUGCAUGGUUGUCGUCAGCUCGUGUCGUGAGAUGUUGGGUUAAGUCCCGCAACGAGCGCAACCCUUAUCCUUAGUAGCCAGCAUUAAGUUGGGCACUCUGGGGAGACUGCCAGGGAUAACCUGGAGGAAGGCGGGGAUGACGUCAAAUCAUCAUGCCCCUUAUGUUUAGGGCUACACACGUGCUACAAUGGCUGCUACAAAGGGAAGCGACCUCGCGAGAGUAAGCAAACCUCAAAAAAGCAGUCCCAGUUCGGAUUGUAGUCUGCAACUCGACUACAUGAAGUUGGAAUCGCUAGUAAUCGCGAAUCAGAAUGUCGCGGUGAAUACGUUCCCGGGUCUUGUACACACCGCCCGUCACACCAUGGGAGUUGGUGGGGCCCAAUGCCGGUGACCCAACCGUAAGGAGGGAGCCGUCUAAGGCAAAACCAAUAACUGGGGUGAAGUCGUAACAAGGUAGCCGUAUCGGAAGGUGCGGCUGGAUCACCUCCUUUAU
rnacentral:rRNA from 1 species